UACGUAGGGUGCAAGCGUUAAUCGGAAUUACUGGGCGUAAAGCGUGCGCAGGCGGUUAUAUAAGACAGUUGUGAAAUCCCCGGGCUCAACCUGGGAACUGCAUCUGUGACUGUAUAGCUAGAGUACGGUAGAGGGGAUGGAAUUCCGCGUGUAGCAGUGAAGAGCGUAGAUAUGCGGAGGAACACCGAUGGCGAAGGCAAUCCCUGGACCUGUACUGACGCUCAUGCACGAAAGCGUGGGAGCAAACAGG
rnacentral:rRNA from 1 species